AUGAAGUACGGUUGCAACCCGUUCUCACUCCCGAGGCGUAAAUUACUGACGAUUUGUCACGUCCCUUAACUUCUCAUGCUGACGCUGAAGGUACCCUUCCACGUUUUUAUGCGACGCUGUGGGUUGUCAAUUCAUUCCAAUAUGAACCCGCUCUCGGCGAUCAGAGACGCUUCGAGCAGAGGCUCCGGCCAUCCAUUUACUCCAAUAAUAACCCCGUCACGGCGAAACGUGACGAACGGGUUUUUCUCCCUAAUUUAAUGCUUUCUUUUAAUGACAUCCUUAACAUUUCUCAACAAAAACACAUGAAAGUAACACUGAUAAUUCAACAAUAAAAUCGCUUCAUUUUCCAAAGUGAUUCACGAUCUGAAAGUGCUCAGAUUUAACGUACAUAAUCCUUGGUUGGGUUUAUUAUUUUUAUUUCACACUUAAAACACAUUUAUAGUUUUAUUCACCACUCCUGUUAGUUUUGGAUGCGCUCGGCUCCAACCAAUCAGACGCAACCUGUGUAAGCAAAGGAUGAUGGGAGAACGGAGAGACCCGUUUAUAAGAAUAAGAAAAGGAGGCGGAAUUGAUUGAUUCUAAUGCAGAUCAGCAUCAAUGUCCACGUGAAGAACCUAGUUAUGUUGCCAGUGUCAACCCAACAAAAGGCACUUUCACAAUAUAUAAAAGAAGUGUAUGGAACUGAGGUGCUUCCUCAGGUUGUUGGAGGAUGGAGAAGAGGACGCAGCCGUGACUUGUGAGAUGGCGUCUGAGUCAGCUACUACUCACUAGGAGAUCAGAAACAUGGUGUCCUUGCAAAAGUGGAAAGAGGCCAGGCCUUGUCUUAUAGACAAAAUGUUAUCUACUCUGGAUCCACAGUCACACCGUGUGUGUCAGUGUGGCAAACAAGUAGUUGUGAGGUGUCUGGACUGCCUGCCUCUUCCAUUCCUUUGUGCUGACUGUGAUAUUGCAGUUCACACACGCUUUGUCCUGCACAACCAAGAGGCAGUAACAGGAGGGUUUUUGCAGCCUUCAUCAGAGUUUCACAAGCCAAUAGGCCGUUAUAACCUUGCACUGCCAGUGGUGAGCUGCACCACCUGUGACUUAAUGUGGUCCCCCUCAGUUAAGGACAUCCUGGGUAGUGGAUAUUGGCCUGGCACCUUAAAUUUCUGCACCCUGUUUUCAAUGGAUGCCUUUCAGUCUUUCUAUGACAUUAAGAAGGCUGCACCAGGGAUGUCAUGUCACUUAAGGCAUUUGUCAAAAUGCUGGAUGAAAGAACAGCCCAUUUUUGAAGGACUGGCCGAAUAUCAGCUGAUGCCUUCAGUAAAAGCUUUGUGGAGUGGAGUGCUGUUUGAGAUGGACAGGAUGUGCAAGGAGCCAUGCGUUAGCUGCCCUGCCUGCACUCCAGACGUGCUUGCCGUCUCAGUUGAUGGAAACUGGAAGCUUUAUCGCAUUCAAUCAAAUACAAGCACUUCAGAGCAGGCGAACUUUGAAGGUGUCUUCAUUGAGAAAGAUGAGGAAGUUGCUGAGUUUAUGAAAUACAUCCAGAGACACACAAAUGAUCGUCCCAGGACAUAUUACUUUCCUUUGCUCCGAUGUGUCCUGUAA
ensembl:lncRNA